rnacentral:lncRNA from 1 species
GGAAACCAAAAAAGCAGCUUCCGAGAACAAAUUCCUCUCCUCCCAUGGCGGCUACCUCUGUUGAUUCACCAUCUCCACCAGGAUCAGAUUGUUCGAUUCAACCAGCAAAGUCACUCGAGUAAAGUCUUGACGCAGCAGAUGACGUAGAACAAAUGAAAGGGCCUGGAUCUCCGCCUGCAGUGGCGAGGUUGCAGCUACGCUUUUGGAGAAACCAUCUGUAAGUCGUCCAUGGUGAUCUCUACAAACGCAAGCUAUAUUACCUUCCCUACUUCCUGGUUGAUGAGAACCAUCAAUAUUCACCUUUAGAACCCCCAGAUCUGGUGGUCGCCAAAGUGAUCCCCUGUUUUGAUGCGAUCUGCCCUUGCAGGUCAAUGAUAAAGCAGACACCCGAACCACAUGGAAAUGAGUGAGCACUGCCUCAACGACCUGAUUCAGAUCAAGAGGAGCACGCCUGAAGAUGAAUCCAUUCCGAGCACACCAGAUCUGCCAAAGAACAUUGGCGAUCUUCACUAGACCAGGUAAGUUGUUCUGUUGUCUAACUUUAUCCAUGAUCCAUGUAUCAAUACGCUGGAUGCCAUGAGGUGAGAUGUGAAUAUUGAUUUGGGGAUGUGACCACACACGAUUAGUCCAUGUACAAAGCAUGAACAAAUGUUCUAGGGUUUCUGGUGUCUUCUGAUUGCAUAGGGUACAUCAUGGGUUGUCUAUGAUAUGUCUAUGAUGUAGAUUGGCUCUAGUCGCUAAAGCAUUAUUAUAUAAUAACCACAAGAAAGUACGAAUCUUUGGGGCAGUUGGCAUUUUCCAUAAUUUCCGCCAUAACCAGGUAGGGUUCUAAUAUGAUGUAGAAGCUGUUCUGUUGCUAUGAGUAAUUGCUGUCUAUGUAAUUGCAUGAUAUGCAGAUUUGACCGUAACACCAUGAUUGGUAGCAGUCCAUAUAAUUUCAUCCUUGGCAAAAUUAGGUCUUACCAGAAUACUAAUGAUCUGAUCUAUCACCUUCGAGUCAAAAAAUCUAUUGAGCAGAUUGCACUUCCAGGUGUUGGUGGUAUGAUCAAUGAGAUCAUCUACCAUAUGAGGUUCUUCUCGGACUUUUGGUCCACCUAGUAUUCCGAUAGGUAGCCACCUAUCCUCGCGUAUGUUGAUUGAUCGCCCAUCUCCUACUGACCAACAUACAGAGGGUAAAAUCGCAUCCCUUCCACUCAAAAGACUUUGCCAGCCCCAAGAUGGGCGAGAGCCUUUUUUCUGCAGUGCAGAAAUUUGAUGAAUGGAAAUAGAGUCCUUUAAAAACUUUAGCCCAUAAGGAUAAAGGGUGAUGGAAUAGACGCCAUGCUUGUUUGCCAAGCAUGGCUUUAUUGAAGCUUAUUAAAUCUCGAAAACCUAAGCCACCAGCAUCCUUUCUUUGUUUCAGUGCUUCCCAAUUUUGCCAAUGAAUCCCUGCUUUUCUUGUGUCAUUCUGCCACCAGAAUCUUGCAAUUCGCUUUUCAAUAGAUUUGCAGAUAGAUACGGGUAAUUUAAAUAUAGACAUAGCAUAUUGUGGUAUAGCUUGUACCACCGUCUUAAGAAGAAUCUCUUUCCCGCCUUUUGAAAUAAGAUUUUCCUUCCAACCUUCCAAUUUUGCGUGAACUCUACCCAUAAUCCAUGAAAACAUAUCCCUUUUCAAAUGCCCCCAGUCAAAUGGUAUUCCUAAAUAUUUACUACAUCUUUGCAAUACUGGUACCCUUAACUCCCUAGCCAUAUUCUCCUGUAAAGUAGCAGGGCAAGUUUUGCUGAAAUAAAUACCAGAUUUGUUGCGAUUAACAGCUUGACCCGUCACUAAGCAGUACUGAUGCAAUAGAUUGGAUAGAUUCUGACAUUCAUUAAUCGUACCAUCAAGAAAGAAGAUUGCAUUGUCUGCGAAAAACAAUGUGAAAUAACAGGACACCAUCUAUUUAAUUUGAUACCUUUUGAGAACACCCAUGUCAACUGUGUUGUUAAUAAGAUAAGAUAAUAGAUUCUCCAUAAGGAUAAAAAGAUAUGGGGAUAGAGGAUCACCCUGUCGAAGGCCCCUGGUAGGAUGAAAAUACUGCAAAUACUCACCAUUCAUUUUGACACAAGAGGAUGUUGUUGUGAUACACUACAUUACCAAUCUGAUCCAACUGGAAUGGAAUCCUAGUUUGUGUAGAUAAUCAUUGAGAAAAUCUCAUUCCACUCUAUCAUACGCCUUCUGCAUAUCCAUCUUAAGUACAACUUGAAAAUGCCGCUUCCUGUUCUUUGACUUUAGCUAAUGAAGAACCUCCUGGACUAGUAAUAUAUUGUCCUGUAUCUAUCGGCCACUCACAAAAGGGCAUUGCUCCUCCGAAAUCAGAGUUGGUAGCAUAUGUUUUAAGCGAUUAGCAAGCACCUUUGAAAUGAUCUUGUAGGCAUAGUUGCACAAGCUGAUGGGGCGAUACUGAUCCAAACAUUCAGGGUUAUGGAUUUUAGGAAUCAAGGCAAUAACAGUCCUAUUUAAUGCGGAAGGUAAGAAACCUGAAGUAAAAAAAUUCUGAACUGCCUUGAAAAGAUCAUCUUUAAUAAUGUCCCAAUGUGUCUGAUAAAAUAAACCAUUCAGCCCAUUCGGACCUGGAGCUUUGGUGGCUCCUAACUAAAAGGUAGCUUGUUUAACUUCUGAAUACAUCACCCCUGCUAUUAAGACACCAUUCAUUUCUAGCGUGACCAUAGUAGGGCAUUGAUCUAAUACAAGUCCAUAACUGCGACUGCCCGUUGUGGUAUAUAACUUCGAAAAAAAAAAUUACAUGCCAUCUCUUUUAACUUUGUGGGAUCCCUAACCUAGGAGAAACUUGAAAGGGACUAAAUGAGCAUCUAAUAUCCAAAAGCUGAAUUGUGACCCUGACUUAGGAUGACAAAGUGCCAACUUGGGGUUUCUUGUCUCUCCGAAAGUUUUGAUAACCCAUGUUACCCAUUUGAAGAUAGGAUAGUCUCUAAGUCAAAUUCAUAGGGGUUGCUAUCAUAGGACUUAAUAGUAAGGCCAUGUUAUAUUUUUUGUCCGACUUGUAUUGGGUUAUUUUAUCGCACUUUACUCUUUACUCAUUCUUUCAUUACUACCUUUGAUUAAUUGUUUGUGAUUCUUAUGUUACUUUCAUAUGGCGUGAUUUGCUUUACUUUAAUGGAAUGGUUAGGUUAGACCUUAAUAAAUAUAAAAACAUUGUAUGAACACUUAACGGACAAAAAACUUAGGAUUCAUAAUUUGAUAAAAAGACGACGUGGAUACCUUAGCUAACAAAUAAUCAAGUUUAGGUAGCAAAAUGGCACCGGUUAGAUAACUAAUGUAAUCAACCCCUCGACUCUAGAUUUUUGAUUGCAUAGGAAGUGAGGUAUACUUCCUACCACGCUUAAUUUACCCAAUAGACUUGUGGCGACUCCUCAUACAGAAUCCUCAUAGGGUUCAAAUUAAAAUGAUAAUCUUAAUGUUGCAUGAGAUAAGGGUUUGAGAGAAUUUACGCCAAUUGAGGACCAUUAGCCCUCAACUUGACAUUACUUUUAAAUCCAUAUUUAAGCUAACCUAAAACUUGAAAAUUAAAAUUUUAAUUGGGUCUAAAAUUGAUACUAGAGCGUGACUUUUUUUUAUCACCAGUUACAAGUUAAUUGGAUGAUCGGAGCAGCACAUUGACUUUAGUUGGAAAGCCCUCGUUGCAAAGUGAAGUAUGCCGCUUAAUUACAGCUAUGGCCAUGUUUUUAAGUGGGUGAAUAGAGCGAUCCUUCAUUCCUGUUCUCAAUUUUUGUUUAAUCUUUGUUUGUAAUCUUUACAUUCAAUCUGUUAUGCCAUCCUAGAUCCAUGAUAAGUUAUCCACUAUGUUGAUAUAUUCGAGUUUAUCCCAACCUAGAUGUAUCAUUAGAUACUGAAUAGUAUAACAUAAUUUGAUUUUAUUUAUUCGGCAAAAAAUAAAUUAUUUGAAAAUGAUUGUUUAUAUUGUUCAUAAAAAUGAACGAAUAAUUUUUUUUUUCAUUGUCUACAAAAAUUUUCAGAAAUAAAUUGUCAUCAAUAAUGAAAUUUUUUUUAUUGGAUAAUUAUUUUAAGUAAUAAGCAAUUAUUUUAAGAGAAAUGUUUUCUAAAUCAUUAAUUUUCCAUAAAAUGAAUAGAGUCUAAGGCUCCAUUUGUUUUGCGAAAAAUAUGACAUUUUUGAAAAACGCUUUUCAAAAAGCCAUUUUUCUAGAAAAUGAUAAUAUUUUUCAGUGCUCGACUAAAACACAAAAAUGAGAUUUUCCUUUGUGCACUCCUUUUAAUAUUUUUUAUUUUUAUUUUUAUUGUAGAAAAUCGAAUUUUUAAUUAUUUUAUUCUUUAUUUUAUUUUAUCUUAUAUUUUCUUUUUUUCUUUAUCUUUUUUUCUUCUUCUUUGGCCAAUUGCCAACCAUGGUCACGGUCAAUGACUAGCCUCAAGUAAGCUUGAGCUUGUUGGAGGUUAACUGGCUAGAGCCUUGCUUGAUCGGCAAGGCUCAAGCCUUGCCUGAUUGACAAGCUUGUCCCUUGCUUGGGGUUGGUCCCCAGUUGUUGCUUUGGGUCCACGAUCGGUUGAGGAAGAAGCAAAAAUAAAAAGAAAGAAACAAAAAAUAAUAAUUAAAAUAAAAAAUAAAAAAUUUGAGUUUAAAAAAUAAAAAAAAUUAUUACUAAUAUAAAUUUUUAUAAUAAAAUAAUUGAAAAUUCCAUUUAAAAAUAUAUAUAUAUAUAUAUUUUAAAAACAAAUGUUUCAUUAAUCAAUGACUUGAGCUCAAGUGCUGACAACUCACACACAACUUUUGUGGACCCGAGCCUGAGUAUUGGGGACUAGAGCUCGAGCAUCGAGGCCCGAGCUUGACUUUUAUGGACCCAGGCUUCAUUGCCAAGGCAUAGGGUAUGGGCACUAGUGGUUUGGGCUCAACCUCAAUGGACCUAGGCAUAGGCACGAGGGGCCCGAGCCUAGGGAUUGAAGUCCAAUCUUGAUGGACUAGUGCUCGUGCGUCAGACACUCGGUCCUAGCCUUGAUGGACCCAGACCGAGCAUUGGAGACUUGGGAAUUAGAGUUAUUAGAGUUCCUGUGUUUAAACGUAGAGUUUCAAGUCCAAGCAUCGAUACUCAAUCAUAUUUUGGAAAAUGUCUUGCGGCUUUUUGAAAGAGGAAAUUGUUAUGCUAAAACUAUGUUUAGCUUUUGUUGAUCAAGAAAACGUUUUCCAUUGAUUUAUUUUCCUAAGCGAAACAAAUGCCGGAAAAUGAAAAAUGUUUUUUCCAGAAAAGAUUUGCUGCGAAUCGUAAGGAAACUAAGUUCGAACCGUCAGUCGUUCCUCCAUUGUUUGGAUCUAGUUCGCCUCGUCAAAAGCCAAGCUCCAGUAACUCGUAAGCCGAGCUCGACUGACUUAUGAACAAGAUUAACUCGUUUCCACCGAAUUCUUUUUACUUCCCUAGUACAAGGCCGAAACUCAUCCAAAUCAACAAAUUGGGCCUAUGGGGCGGGUUCUGUUCCGUUACUCUAACCCAUGUAACCAUCUAAGAAGCAAGAUAUCAAUUUACGGCUUUGAAUCUCCAUUAUCAAAUGGGAAACAACGAUAAAAUGUACAGCCUACUCCAUAAACAUUGAAAUGGAACGAAUUGCAAUCUUUAUGAAUUUGAAUGAUUUUAUCCAUCUACAGAUGUUUAUCCCGACUAUAUUAAGGCAUGGGAGGAUGCAUUAUUUCUGUUGUAUAUAUUCCUGCUUUGUGCUUGAUUGGUUUUUAGUUUUAUUUUUAUAUUAGUGAUAAAUUAGACACGACGGUUUAUAGUUAUCCGUUAGAUUAAGCUUACAGGCUUGAAGGACAGAGACAAUGCGUAAAUUAAACAUAAAUGAAUCGGAUUUAACUGUAAAAGCAGCCCAAAUUCUCACUUUCAUAGAAUAUGGGCAUGGGGCUUGGGGCUUGGGCUUGCGCAAUUAACUUGUCCAGCUCCCAAGUUCUCGUAUCAUCUCCAUCCGGAUGCAGGUAAGAAAAUCUUCUUGACCUGUCGCGACCAAUUUUUCAGGGUGUGAACCACCUAAAAUUUGGCUAAUGGAUUAUUAAGCCUAAACUUAACUUAGCUUCUCCCAAGCCCAUACCAAUUCGCGACUUAGGUUCAAGUUCUUAGCAUGCAAUUGAUUUUUUAAUCAGGAGUUGCCACUAAUCUAUUUUUUUGUGGGUCGAUUAGAAACCCACGUAAAAUAAUGGGAGUUUUACUUUACUCCUACAAACCAGAGACUAUGGGUACGGGGACUUGAUUACAUUAGAUUUCUCUAAUGCCCUUUCGGUACCACUUUUUUUUAAUUUUCAAAAAUGUUUUUUUUUUUUGCAGGCAACUUAAAUUGAUUUUAAAUCUAAUUCCUUAACAUGUGAAAUGAUCAUGUGGAUGCGUAAUUCACCAAUUUAACAUUCAGAUAAACAAUAAAUAAAUUGCAAAAACUUAUCUCAAAGUAACGAAAGCAUCUGUAAUGUUAAAUUAAAAUCCACAUCAACAACCCUAGAUAUGGUUUUUAAUUAACACGCAAUUUUCUUUUUGUUUUCACUUAAUUAAUAAAAAUCACGGAAUAUGCAAUGCAAUAUUAACUAAAUGACCUAAUUCUAAUGACAUGUAAUUUCUAAUUAAAUGGGCCUAGCAAAAAUACUAAAUGACAUUCAUCUUAAUGAAUCUAACCCUAAUGACGUGCAUAUGACAUUUUUUUUCUUUUCCUAAAAGAAUGCAUUUUAUCCUAAAUAAUAAAACUAAUUUCACCUAUGACAUUUUUUGUAUUUUUUUAAUGAAAUUCAAAAUUAGAAAAAUGUGAAAAUUAUCUAAUUAGAUUAAGAUCCUAUUUAAUUAGUAUUAGGAAUUAGGUUGAGCUAAAUCCUAAUUUAAACUAAAAUAUUAUCUUAACCCAAAUAAUCCUAAAGUGCAAUCUAUCUAAUAUCUGAACUUAUAAUAAAUUUUAAGAAAAAUAUUAUCUAGAAUUAAACUAAGUGCAAUUUUACCCUAAUAUGCAAUGACGUACAAAAAGAUGCCCUAACUCUACAUGACAUAUGCAUGACGAUUUUUUUUUUGUAUUUUUUCUAAUGAAAAUUCAGAAUUAAAUCAAUAAAAAUCUAACUGAAGUGAAAUGUUAUCUAUUCUAAAUGCCUUCUCAACAUGCAAAAAUAACUAACCUAUCAUGCAAUCAAUCCUAAUCUACAUGGGAUACAAAAUGCAAUUUUUUUGUAUUUUCGGGAUAAAUAGAGCAAUUAAGAGAUAAACCCCCAAAUCAUCACAAAUGUUAUCCACCAUUCGAAUUGAAAUUCAAAUUUGUUUAUUUCGCUAAUAAAAUCGAUGAAUUGAUCUUAAGCCUUAAAGAUCAAAAUAUCAAUUUUACUCCCGCGUGAAUAAUUAUUCCAUCUAAAGCCUUGUAGAUAGAAUAAAAAUUCGUGCGGUUGCAAAUUGGAUGCUAUAUCAUGGAAUUUCAAUCAUGCAUUGGAAAAUAUUUCAAACAAUGAGAUAAAAUAUCAAAAACCAAAAUAAGAUAAAACAAAUCUACUAAAUAUACCUACCUAAUAAAAUAAAAUAAAUCUCUACCUAAAUUCGAAUGUUUUUCCAAAUCCAAGCGGUGAGGUAGAUCACGAUAGAAGCUCAGCACGGCUAAGGAUAGGGCUCGGCAAGGCCGCGAGGUACGCCAAGGGAACCUGCAAAAACAAAGAACCCACAGCUAGUGUGGUUCAAUGAUCAAUGAAUUCACGGCCUACGAUGGCUCGGCCGUGAUGAGUGUUGCUCGGUGGGACUCCUUGAUUGAGCCACAAAGUCACGAUCUCCUCUCGCUUCAAUUCCACGUGGUCUCUCUUGAGAACUCACAGCCGAUUCUCCAAAUUUCACCCUCAAGGAGAGACAGAUUCCACCGUUUCCCCUUUAGCUUGUCUCUUCCUCUUUUUUUAAUCCUAUUUGAGACAUCAUAACCCAGAAUUCUUCAUGUGGGCGUGCCAGAUGCCUUGGUGCCCUAAUUUUCUCUUACAUUAGGCAUGGGAUGAGAAGUUGGAGGUAGCCACCGAAAAUUAAAUAGAUGAAGAUGCGGGAUGAGGAACACGAGAAACGGUGAUUCAGAUAAACGGCGACUGGAGCUCGGUGGACGUGGUAGAUGGACGCCAGGUACUGCUAAGCUGCGAUGAGGGCUGCUGUUAAGUCAAGAAGCAGCAUUGGACAAGGCCUUGCUGGUGCCGCUAGAAUCUCCGCAACCGUUCUUCCUGGAACGUGUCAGCAAAGAGCAACAACUCGUCAAAAGCCUGCAAAAGAAGAACAGCGGCAGUGGAAGGGCAAGGAUGAGUUGCUGCUCAAGGUGGUAACGUGACGACAGGCAAGCCGACACGAAAGCGAGGGGUGGUGCUGGUGUUGCAGGGGUUCGGUGCAGCGACCAGCGGGCGUUGGGGGCGUCGCGGACUGCUGGACGGCAACGACGUCGAGCUUUCGACACGGGCUGAGGUGCGGCGGCAGGGAGAAUGACGCAACGUCGGGCGCUCGGUCACGGUCGGAGCUCGGACGCGGGCGACGGUGGCGCUGCAAGAGUCCAAGGAAGAAGACAAUCUUCUUCUUUUUUAAAAAAAAAAUUCUCUCUCUUUCUUCUUACGUGUAUCACUCAAAUGAAUUGCCGGACCCCAUGAUUUCUCACUUUUAUUCUCUCUAGCGAGUGUUCUCUCCUAUGGCCGUGUAUCUCCAUUGUGUGGCCCUCUCUCUCAAUCUUUCGGCCUGAUUUUUCAAUUCUUUCUACAUUUAUCAAAAUCUGAAUACUUAUCAGAAUUUCAAACUUU